GCUUAACACAUGCAAGUCGAACGGAAAGGCCCUGCUUUUGUGGGGUGCUCGAGUGGCGAACGGGUGAGUAACACGUGAGUAACCUGCCCUUGACUUUGGGAUAACUUCAGGAAACUGGGGCUAAUACCGGAUAGGAGCUCCUGCUGCAUGGUGGGGGUUGGAAAGUUUCGGCGGUUGGGGAUGGACUCGCGGCUUAUCAGCUUGUUGGUGGGGUAGUGGCUUACCAAGGCUUUGACGGGUAGCCGGCCUGAGAGGGUGACCGGCCACAUUGGGACUGAGAUACGGCCCAGACUCCUACGGGAGGCAGCAGUGGGGAAUAUUGCACAAUGGGCGGAAGCCUGAUGCAGCAACGCCGCGUGCGGGAUGACGGCCUUCGGGUUGUAAACCGCUUUCGCCUGUGACGAAGCGUGAGUGACGGUAAUGGGUAAAGAAGCACCGGCUAACUACGUGCCAGCAGCCGCGGUGAUACGUAGGGUGCGAGCGUUGUCCGGAUUUAUUGGGCGUAAAGGGCUCGUAGGUGGUUGAUCGCGUCGGAAGUGUAAUCUUGGGGCUUAACCCUGAGCGUGCUUUCGAUACGGGUUGACUUGAGGAAGGUAGGGGAGAAUGGAAUUCCUGGUGGAGCGGUGGAAUGCGCAGAUAUCAGGAGGAACACCAGUGGCGAAGGCGGUUCUCUGGGCCUUUCCUGACGCUGAGGAGCGAAAGCGUGGGGAGCGAACAGGCUUAGAUACCCUGGUAGUCCACGCUGUAAACGGUGGGUACUAGGUGUGGGGUCCAUUCCACGGGUUCCGUGCCGUAGCUAACGCUUUAAGUACCCCGCCUGGGGAGUACGGCCGCAAGGCUAAAACUCAAAGGAAUUGACGGGGCCCCGCACAAGCGGCGGAGCAUGCGGAUUAAUUCGAUGCAACGCGUAGAACCUUACCCGGGUUUGACAUGGAUCGGGAGUGCUCAGAGAUGGGUGUGCCUCUUUUGGGGUCGGUUCACAGGUGGUGCAUGCCUGUCGUCAGCUCGUGUCGUGAGAUGUUGGGUUAAGUCCCGCAACGAGCGCAACCCUUGUUCACUGUUGCCAGCACGUUAUGGUGGGGACUCAGUGGAGACCGCCGGGGUCAACUCGGAGGAAGGUGGGGAUGACGUCAAGUCAUCAUGCCCCUUAUGUCCAGGGCUUCACGCAUGCUACAAUGGCUGGUACAGAGAGUGGCGAGCCUGUGAGGGUGAGCGAAUCUCGGAAAGCCGGUCUCAGUUCGGAUUGGGGUCUGCAACUCGACCUCAUGAAGUCGGAGUCGCUAGUAAUCGCAGAACAGCAACGCUGCGGUGAAUACGUUCCCGGGGCU
rnacentral:rRNA from 1 species